rnacentral:rRNA from 1 species
GAUGAACGCUGGCGGCGUGCCUAAUACAUGCAAGUCGAACGCAUUGUGGUUGAAAUGAUAUGAAGAACUUGUUCAGAUUUGAUUUUCAACAUUGCAAUGAGUGGCGAACGGGUGAGUAACACGUGGGAAACCUACCUCUUAGCAGGGGAUAACAUUUGGAAACAAAUGCUAAUACCGUAUAAUAAUUAAAAACCGCAUGGUUUUAGUUUAAAAGAUGGUCUUGCUAUCACUAAGAGAUGGUCCCGCGGUGUAUUAGUUAGUUGGUGAGGUAAUGGCUCACCAAGACAAUGAUACAUAGCCGAGUUGAGAGACUGACCGGCCACAAUGGGACUGAGACACGGCCCAUACUCCUACGGGAGGCAGCAGUAGGAAUCUUCCACAAUGGACGAAAGUCUGAUGGAGCAACGCCGCGUGUGUGAUGAAGGGUUUCGGCUCGUAAAACACUGUUGUAAGAGAGAAUGACAUUGAGAGUAACUGUUCAAUGUGUGACGGUAU